GGGGUCAUGCGGGACUUGAUGCAGCCAUGCCGCGUGUGUGAAGAAGGCCUUCGGGUUGUAAAGCACUUUCAGUUGUGAGGAAAAGUUAGUAGUUAAUACCUGCUAUCCGUGACGUUAACAACAGAAGAAGCACCGGCUAACUCCGUGCCGGCAGCCGCGGUAAUACGGAGGGUGCGAGCGUUAAUCGGAAUUACUGGGCGUAAAGCGCACGCAGGCGGUUUGUUAAGCUAGAUGUGAAAGCCCCGGGCUCAACCUGGGAUGGUCAUUUAGAACUGGCAGACUAGAGUCUUGGAGAGGGGAGUGGAAUUCCAGGUGUAGCGGUGAAAUGCGUAGAUAUCUGGAGGAACAUCAGUGGCGAAGGCGACUCCCUGGCCAAAGACUGACGCUCAUGUGCGAAAGUGUGGGUAGCGAACAGGAUUAGAUACCCUGGUAGUCCACACCGUAAACGCUGUCUACUAGCUGUGUGUGCCUUUAAGACGUGCGUAGCGAAGCUAACGCGCUAAGUAGACCGCCUGGGGAGUACGGCCGCAAGGUUAAAACUCAAAGGAAUUGACGG
rnacentral:rRNA from 1 species